rnacentral:rRNA from 1 species
UACGUAGGGGGCUAGCGUUGCUCGGAAUUACUGGGCGUAAAGGGCGCGUCGGCGGUCAGUCUAGUCAGAGGUGAAAGCCCAGGGCUCAACCUUGGAAUUGCCUUUGAUACUGGCUGUCUUGAGUUCGGGAGAGGUGAGUGGAAUGCCGAGUGUAGAGGUGAAAUGCGUAGAUACCUGGAGGAACACCGGUGGCGAAGGCGGCGUUCUGGACUGCAACUGACACUGAGGAACGAAAGCCAGGGGAGCAAACGGG